rnacentral:lncRNA from 1 species
CAGAGUUUUUGGCGGGAAAAUUUGUAAUGUUUUGGAGGUCGAAGGCGCCGGUCUUCUUGAAUUUAGUCAAUCAGAUGUGUAAAAAAUGAAAGGGCAUUUUUGUUCACAAAUACCCGCUUAUUUUACGUUAUAGCGACUGGUUAGUUUUGGAAAUUAUAACUCAAUGGACGGGGGGAAAAGGAUUGCGUAGUAAAGAGAAAAAUACGUGCAGUCAUUGACUUUUACUGUGAUGUUUAUAUUUGUUGUGAAAGACGGCCGGAAAUUUCGCUACAUGAUACCAUCGCUGCACUGGAUAAUAAAAAAAUUCUGCUGGAAAUUCGACAAUGGAUAAAGAGACAACGCUUGAAUAAAAAAAAUG